AGCAAAAUUGUUGAAUUAUAGGGUAAGGGUAUGUUUAUUUUUGUAAGAAACCAAUAAACUCUCUUCCAAAGUAACUAAACCAUUUUACAGUCUCUCUAGCAUU
rnacentral:pre_miRNA from 1 species